GUUGGUCACAUACAAUUUAUGUGCGUGUGUGCGACAAGCUCACUUGACUGAACAGAGCUUGUUGCGGCUUUUAGUUCAAAUCGAAAUUUUCAUUGUGAAUGUUUGACAUGCAUUAACCGGUUCGAAUAUUUGAAAUUUAAUUUUACCGUCGGCUGUUAAUUCAAAUAAAAAGACUACAAACAGAAAAGAAAAAUCUCAAGAACAUAUUCAAUAGAAAAAUAAUAAAAAAAAACUUAUUAGAAGCUUUGGGUGCCAAUCAAUAAAAUAACCUUAAAACGUACGUGUUGUGCAGUGAUACAUGAUUUUCCAUAACUUUCAGACAUUGAAAUUGCAAAUGAAAAAAAAAAAAAAAAAAAAGUUGAAAUGGUUUUGGCUAUCAAAACCUAAAGCGGAUCCUCAAUUCAAUGAUUCUUUUAAUUAAGGGCACCAAUAUUUUGAGGGAUUUUGUAAUGAAAUGUAUAUAUAUUUAUUGCAAUUAAAUUGAAACUGAUUAACACCACGGAAAUUUCAAAUCGGAGGUGAUUGUAAAAGAAACAAAAUUGUAAUAGAAAUUAAAAAAAAUCUACAAAAGAGUUUGCGUCUUCCGUUACGGCGACGUUUUCUUCCUAUUCCAUAUUUCUGCAAUAAAAAUGGCUUUGCAACGAAAAACUCAAUGAUAAGUCUUGCUACCACACAAAACAAACGUACCUCAAUGGCAUCAUUCUUCCGCUUGUAACACGACUAAUCUUCCCAACAACAGAAAAUGCAUCGCUUUUGUACCUCCGAAUAUGCCGUAGGAAGUUUACACACCACCACUGGUCUAUAACUGAAUGCUGCCGUCUCAAAAUAGAUAUCUUGUUCUGUACCUGUUCUUCAAUGGAAGCCUUUUUUGCAAAUUGGUAUACCCGCAUUUUGGACUGUUCGAGAUUUGAGACUAAUGGGCAAAAAUAUACAGCCACAAAUAACAAUAACUGCACCUGAUGUCUCCUCAGCGACAAUGCAGCAUCGUCAAAGGAUUGAAGGCAGACUUAAAAUGCAACCGACGGGACAGCCCUGCAGAGGAUAAGAUAAUAACGCUGGUUUCUUUGGCGAUGAAGAUUAUAAGCGCAGUUCUCGCACCAAUUUAAAUUUAUGCGAGAGGAUUUGACCAUGAGUUCGGAUUGAAGGAAAGCUAUGUUGUGAGCAUAACGAAGAAAGAAGUCUCUCAAGGCAAUUGAUGGACAAGCCCGAAUAGUAAAAGCGUCGUAGAAGAUUUUGAACCCCUCAAGGAUAAAACACAAUACAAAGCAAAUGGAUUAUUAUUCAAUUCUGAAAUCGAAGAAGACAGCACACUGAUUUAUGUUAUCGAUGGAACAGGAAGUGUUGACGAAUGCUAUGAUUUCGAUUUCCAAAAUCCGUGUGGAUGUGCUGGUCCAAUAAAAGUUAUUCCCCAGCGGCAGUCCCAACGCUGUCAUCAUCAUGUUUAUUUAAAUGUUCAAUUUUUUACGAUUUGUAUUAUCGUUUUGUGCAUUAUUAAAAAACAUUUUUCAGUGUUUUUAAAGGAAGUAUAUUUAGGAAGUAUAAACGGCGAUUAAAGUUAACAUUUUCGUUUGGGAAUUUUUAUUGUAUAUGUUGUAAUACUUCCAAUAUUAAAAAACUCGUGGAUAUAUGCAUUAUAUAUGAUAGAUUGCACAAUGAAAGCAAAUGACAAACAAAUGCAAACAAAUUAUGAAACAUGAAGUGAUAAUAAAUAAUAUUUCUUCUUCUUUGUCGAUUUUAAGCAGCCGUUAAAUUGUUGGUUAUUUCCGUUGACGUGCUCUUGUAAAAACAUGUAAAAACGCUAAGUUCGGCAACUUCACCGUGUUGUUAGUAAAGCAUUUUUACAUAGAGGUUUCUGGGUUCAAUAUUCGAAUGUGUUCCAGUGAAAUCGGUCGGAGAAAGCGGAUAAAGUUUUCAAGGUACCAAAAAGUGGGUGGAAACAUUGUUUGGCCACUAAAGCAAAACGUAAACCUACUUAGACAAUAUUCUACUACAAGACUUGUUAUCAAAUGUGAAUCUUAAAAACCGAAUUUAAAACAAUUCAUAGAAGAUAGGUGGACAAUAUUGUCGAACCGGUUUUAAAUCUCAAUAUAAACUACAAUUACCGAAUUCGAAAAAAAUCCGAUAGAAAAUGUGGCCUGAAUCGUUAAAUUACCAAAUGUCGGAAGGUACUAUUAAAGGGUGUUUUUUAAGCCCGAUAAAACUUGAAAUUGUAAUAAAUAACACAAAUAAUUAAAUGUUAAUCAAUUUUUUUUUAUUCGAAAGAUCAAUACGUGACAUUAACGUUUGAAAAUGAUUUCAGGCAAAUGGGCACCGUGGCUGUUCCUGACGAAGUGCAUUCUGGGCGUCCAAUUUUUGGCCACAUUUUCGAGCACUGCUGGACGUAUGUCAUGAAUAAAACGAACAAUGCUGGCCUCCAAGGCGUCAAUUGUUGUUAAUUUAUUAGCAUAAACCAGUGACUUCACGUAGCCCCACAGGAAAUAAUCGAGAGCGGUCAAAUCGCACGACCUUGGAGGAAAAUUGACAGGUCCACUUCUUGAAAUCAACUUAUCGUCAAAUUUUGAUUUCAAUAAGUCGAUGGUUGCGUUCGCCGUAUGGCACGUAGCGCCAUCCUGUUGAAACCACAUCUCCUCCGGAUCAAUGUCAUCCAUAUUUUUAAACAAACAAUCAUUGAUCAUGGUGCGGUAACGAUCUCCAUUGACUUAACGCGAGCUCCGGCCUCAUUUUUUAAGAAAUAAGUCCGAUGAUGCCACCAGCGGUGCAUAUUCCUGGAUGUAAUGGAAUCUGUCGGAUCUCUUGUACAUUGGUCUCACUCCAUAAUUUUGCUUAUUAACAAACCCGUUUAGCCAAAAAUGCACCUCAUCGCUGAACACAAUUUUGCGAUAAAUCAACUAGUCAUUUGCCAACUGCUCUAGAGCCUGAUUUUCAAAGAAAAUUUGGAUAAUUUCGUAGCGUUGUUCAAGCGUGAGUCUAUUCAUGAUGAUUUGUCAGAGUAUACUGAAACAAAUAAAAAAAAGUUUCAUCAAAAUUUAAUUUUUUGUGUUAGUUUUUACAAUUUAAAGUUCUAUCUAGCUUUAAAAACACCCUUUAUAUGGAUGCUAUAGUAAAACGUUUACUUAUACAGACAAUGUUUGGCCGAAGACGGUAGAUCCCGUUACGAACUAUCAAUACCAAAUUUGUAAUAAUUCCGUCGACAAAUGUGGACAGCACACAUGUGGAUGCACAAUAUAAACUAUUGUGCCAAAUUUCAAAUGCCAAAUAAUGUAGACUGUAUCGUGUUCGACAGACAGACAUCGUUUAAUAAAUUCAGAAUUUUAUCUGAUCAUGAAUAUACCUUUUGGAGUAUUUUUGAUACAAGUAACUACUUUAAAAUCAUCAUACCAAUCCAAGUGUUUGCCCCACGAAAUUAAAAUUUAUUUUAAGGUUCUAAAUGUUAACAAAUAAGUUUAAAAUACAUUCCUAUUUUUAGAACGGUUUUACUUUUAUAUGAAGUUUUAUGUAUUCCUACAUUUUCAUUUUGCAAUGUCUAUUUUGCUUCGUUUACAAACGCACUCUCUUUG